CUCCCUGCCCGUUGCUUUUCUCUCCUUUCUUAGAGAAAUGUUCUCCCUAAUUUGUACUGGAAAAUGCCCACCUUUUAUGAGCCAGACUGGGGCUCCUCGCUUGGGAUUGUGGGUAGGCUCCCAUCUGUUGUUCAUUUCCCAGAGGGAUGAAGAAGAGACGAAUCACACGAGAGGCUAAAAUGGUGCUGUCCCAUGUACCAGUCUCCAACGUGUCUCUCUAGCAGUGGGAAGAGCCGGUGUCAGUUGCCUCAGAGUCUUCUCCUCCUCCUGCCCCUCCCCCCCGUGGCCCCAAAGGCAUUUACUCCAUUGCAACCGCUGACCUUUUGGGGUCUCUGAGGGGGGAAAUUGCAGUAGAUACAAAACAAUAUCAAUAUUUUCUGCAGUAUAACUUCCCCUUGUAAAAGGCAAAUGAACUGGACUCAAAGCACCCGAAUCCUGGUCCCACCCCCUAUUGGGCCGUCCCAUGCCCUGACUCCCAGCAUGCCUUGCUCAUCAUUUGCCACUCUCUACCCCCACCACCAAUGUCACUAACUCCAGUCUCCUUCACCCAAUCAUGGAUGGGUGGCGCCAACUGUACAAGGAACACAUUUAACCCCUUUGUGUCCAGUCAAACCCAGGAA